GAUGAAGAACGUAGUGAAAUGCGAUACGUAAUGUGAAUUGCUGAAUUCAGUGAAUCAUCGAAUCUUUGAACGCAUAUUGCGCUCUUUGGUAUUCCGAAGAGCAUGCUUGUUUGAGUAUCAGUAAACACCUCAAAGCUUUUGGAUUUUUUAAUCGAAAAGCUUUGGACUUGAGCAAUCCCAACACCAAUCUUUUUGAGAUCGGUGGCGGGUUGCUUGAAAUGCAGGUGCAGCUGGACAUUCUCCUGAGCUAAAAGCAUAUUCAUUUAGUCCCGUCAAACGGAUUAUUACUUUUGCUGCAGCUAACAUAAAGGGAGUUUGACCGUAUUGGCUGACUGAUGCAGGAUUUCACAAGGGUCGGCAACGAUUCUUGUUAAACUCGAUCUCAAAUCAAGUAAGACUACCCGCUGAACUUAAGCAUAUCAAUAAGCGGAGGA
rnacentral:misc_RNA from 1 species